AAAUAUGACUAGCUUGCAUAGGAACUACACCACAAUCACCUCAUCACUAUACUUCCCAAUAGUAAAAGGCACCCUCACUUGCUUAUUAACUCUCACCUCCCCACUAUUGUUAAGCCAUUGCAGCUUAUAAGGUUUAUGAUGUUUUAUAGUUUCCAAACCCAGUUUAUCAACAAAUAAGGUACUAGCCACAUUUACACAACUACCCCCAUCAAUAAUCAUGCUACACAAUUUUCUAUUCACUAGACAUCUAGAAUGAAAAAUAUUCUCUCUUUGCAACUUAACCCCCUCAUCAUCAAUCCUUAUUUGCAUAUUCAACUUAACCCCCUCAUAUAGUUAUGGGCUCAUUCUUGUAAUAACACUAAGACAAGACUUAAGCCCAAAAUGAGUUAUACUUAACUAUAUGGGCUUAAUUAACUCAAACUAAAAUAAAACAAUCCAAAAUACUUAAAACAACUCAACUAAUUCAGCCCAUACACAAGGCUUAUUCAUCCAUUAUCAAUAUGACUCAAACAAGUCCUAAUUAUCCCAAAUCACUUAAAUCCAAUUAAAGUUACGAAUUUGGGCUGUUCAAAAAGCUCAUAUUUGAACUUUCAACAAUUGGCCAGCCCAUCAUCCACAUGUUUUUAAGUAAAAACUUGGAGAAACUCUUUAGGUUUCUUUGCCUUUGAUCUUGUUACUGGUCUGCUGAAACUUUCCAGAUUUGGAACUGUAUUUGUGUUUACAUCAUUUGAAAUUUGCUCCAAGUUACCUUCUGAUGCUCUUUGAGUAUCUUGAAUGUUUUUAGCCUUGUUUGCAUCACUGUCUUUAUGAUUGAUAGACGGGACUGUUUGGUGAUACAUUCAAGUAUUGAUAACGCAGUUCUAAGUACUCCUAUGGUUAUUAACGCAUAGUUAAGUGUCACAUAAAGCUCAAAUGGGAGAUUGUUAGAUUUUUCUAACGUGUGGGUUUAAUGUGGACCUUAGUAUGCGUAUCAGAUUGUUAAUUUAGUGGGCUCUUUUAAAAUGAUCAAAUAUGGUUAAACAAUAUUGAACCUUAAUGCAUCAGGUUUAAGUAUAU
rnacentral:lncRNA from 1 species